rnacentral:misc_RNA from 1 species
UACGUAGGUGGCAAGCGUUGUCCGGAAUUAUUGGGCUUAAAGGGUGCGUAGGCGGCCCGUUAAGUCAGCGGUGAAAUCCCGGGGCUCAACCCCGGAACUGCCGUUGAUACUGGCGGGCUUGAGUUCGGUCGAGGCGGGCGGAACUGGGGGUGUAGCGGUGAAAUGCUUAGAUACCACCAAGAACCCCAAUUGCGUAGGCAGCUCGCUGGGCCGAAACUGACGCUGAGGCACGAAAGCGUGGGGAGCGAACAGG